GAUAAGAACGCAGCGAAAUGCGAUAAGUAAUGUGAAUUGCAGAAUUCAGUGAAUCAUCGAAUCUUUGAACGCACAUUGCGCCCCUUGGUAUUCCGAGGGGCAUGCCUGUUCGAGCGUCAUUACACCACUCAAGCUAUGCUUGGUAUUGGGCGUCGUCCUUAGUUGGGCGCGCCUUAAAGACCUCGGCGAGGCCACUCCGGCUUUAGGCGUAGUAGAAUUUAUUCGAACGUCUGUCAAAGGAGAGGAACUCUGCCGACUGAAACCUUUAUUUUUCUAGGUUGACCUCGGAUCAGGUAGGGAUACCCGCUGAACUUAAGCAUAUCAAUAAGCGGAGGA
rnacentral:misc_RNA from 1 species